UACGGGAGGCAGCAGUGGGGAAUAUUGCACAAUGGGCGCAAGCCUGAUGCAGCCAUGCCGCGUGUAUGAAGAAGGCCUUCGGGUUGUAAAGUACUUUCAGUCGUGAGGAAGGUGUUAAGGUUAAUAACCUUAGCAAUUGACGUUAGCGACAGAAGAAGCACCGGCUAACUCCGUGCCAGCAGCCGCGGUAAUACGGAGGGUGCGAGCGUUAAUCGGAAUUACUAGGCGUAAAGGGCACGCAGGCGGUUAAUUAAGUUGGAUGUGAAAUCCCCGGGCUUAACCUGGGAAUGGCAUUCAAGACUGGUUAGCUAGAGUCUUGUAGAGGGGGUAGAAUUCCAUGUGUAGCGGUGAAAUGCGUAGAGAUGUGGAGGAAUACCGGUGGCGAAGGCGGCCCCUGGACAAAGACUGACGCUCAUGUGCGAAAGCGUGGGGAGCAAACAGGGAUUAGAUACC
rnacentral:rRNA from 1 species